CUCAGAUAGGAGGCUUGCUAUGUGCUCAUGUUAGAGAGGUGCCUUAGAAAGCCAUCAGUUAGAUAAGCUUUACUGUGAGUGUUUUGUUGUGCUUUUUGUGUUGUUUUUAAGUAUUUAUUUUAUUCCAUGAGGAAAAGUAGAAAAAGCCUGUGUGCCUUAAGUAUCCCAGAACAAGGUUAUACCACUUCCUUGCAGUCUGUCUUCUGACAGUGGGGCUCCAUAUCAGCACGCAAACCCUUGUGUUUCUCUGUGACAGCUGAAUCCACGCAGUGGGGCUCAUAAAUGCUAUUCUGCCACAAAUAACAUUUGCAUAUAAAGAUCGAUUCAUUCAUUUGUUUGUGUUGAAGUUGUAGCUUUGCUGUAGGUGAAGCUGAAGAUUUCAGACUGAAUUCAGGGAAGCAAGCAUUUGGCCUCUGUUCUGUAAUGUUUAAUUAAAUCUAUAUGAAGCAGCCCUGUGUAUUAUUGGUUGCCCAGAUAGCAAUAAAAUGUACUUAAGCAAAGGUUAAUAAUAUAUGGUAUUUCAGUGUGGCCAUAAUCCAGUGUUUAGGAAAUCAUUAUCAUUUAGAAAUAUGUCCCAAAAUGAAACAUGAAGACAAUUGCUUGUAUAAAUACUGAUAUACUGAACAUGAAUGACUCUUACUGAGCUGAUUGUCUGGCUCAGGCGGGAGGUUUUUCAUUUCAGUCAGAGAACGAGGAGAUUGGAGACUGAUCUUGGAGCUGCAGCUGUGGCACUGGGCUAGGCUAUCCUGCACUACCAGCCACAUCACCAGGGCAACAUGGCAUUCACAGGCAAAUACGAAUUUGAAAGCGAUGAGAACUACGAUGACUUUGUUAAGGCGAUUGGUCUCCCCAGUGAGAAGGUUGAGAUGGGAAGGAAUUGCAAAAUAGUCACUGAGGUGGUGCAGAAUGGAAAUGACUUCACCUGGACACAGCAUUUCCCAGGAGGUCGCACCACGACUAACACAUUCACUAUUGGCAAGGAAGCAGACAUGGAGACAAUGGGUGGUAAAAAAUUCAAGGCAACUGUUAAAAUGGAAGGGGGAAAAGUAGUAGCUGAUUUUCCCAACUAUCAUCACACUGCAGAGAUUGCUGGAGGAAAACUAGUGGAGCUCUCUACUGCUUCUGGUGUAACCUACAAGAGAACCAGCAAAAAGAUUGCUUAAGGGACGUUCUUUGCUGAAUGUCUGUGUUGAAGGAGUUUAGACACCAGCAGCAAUCAGAAGAGCAACAAUGAGCAUUUCCAAAACUUCAACUUUGAAAACUAGAGACUACCAUUAUGCAGAUUUAGGAGUCUGCUGUUGGACUUAAAUCUACCUCAACUCCACCCACGAUACAAAGGCACAAACACAAACUGGGGAAGUCAGUGGACAAUUCACAUUUAAAAUAGAGUCACCAGAAGAAAGACUGAAUAUACAACUGGGUUCUAUUUGGAUUUUCAGUUUUCUUAGGUAAGAUUGCACCUGGCCCAAAGAACUGAUUAUUCCAGCUCAUAUAUCCUAUCUUGUCUGUUUCUUCAGCCACCUCCUCAGCCCUUACAUACACUAACACUUCAGACUUGGAGUAACACCUCACUUCCUGUGCAGUGACCAAGAUCUACCCAAUCCUUCCAACUUAUUGUUUGACAAGGCCCUUCGACCACAUUUGUCCUAUCACUGUUCUGUAAAACAUUAUGAGUGUUCAGAUCAAUUAUUUUUAAGGUAUAGACAUGUAUUCUUUGUUAGCUCUUAAAAGCUUAAGAGGAAACACUAAAAAAUGGAGGGCACUUCAGGUAUAUGCUUGUUUAUUGGAAGCUUUCACUGAAAACUUUGCAAGUAUUUUCACAAUUAAGCAUGAUGGCAGUCCAAAAUAUAACAGCACACAUGACCUGAAUUAAAAGGGUGAUAAAGCAAAGAAAACAAAUACAACAGUACUGCUGCAUAUACAUUGUUCAUUAAUGACAAAUUGUAACAAAAAAUGCACUACAGUCUUCUAAAAAUAAAGUUUAAUAUAAAGACAAAUCCAGCAGAAUGGAAGAUGAACCAAGUUCUCUAAGCUUCUAGAGCCAUUUCUGAAGAGUACUGCUUCUUCAUUUACGGUUGUGGGUUUUUUUUUGAAAAAAAUGUAAUGAUAAUAAUAACUUCCUGCAUUCAGCAGGCUAGAGGAAUUUUAACUCGAUACCAAACACUGCAUUCUCAGAAGACAGUUAAACACACAUUAGCAUGCGGGCUAAUCUUUUCCCCUCCACCCUAAAACACCCUUUAAAAACAAUUCUGUAAAAAUAUAGUUUAAAACAGCACUGACACAUGACUUUGAAAAAUUGUUCCAAGUCAGUAAAAGCAUAUUGCACAUUACCUGUACUGCUGUCCUGAGAGCCUUAAAAAAAAGGCAAACCAACAGUACUGCCUUCAAAGAAAUACACAACAGCGGUUGCACAUCAAAACUGAAGUUUCACAUUUGCAGAAGUCUGUUUCUUGUAAGUAUCUACGUUAAAGAAACAAAGCCUAUACAAUCCUUCAGAUGACAUCUCUGGUCCCAACUGAAGAGGAAACCUUUGGAUAUUUGA